rnacentral:tRNA from 1 species
GGACGAGUGGCAGAGUGGUUGAAUGCGGCUGACUUGAAAUCAGCUUUACCCUCACGGGUAACGUGGGUUCGAAUCCUACCUCGUCCG